GGUGAACAUGAAGACAGAGAUCGGGAUGAUGUUUCUACACACCAAGGAAGGAAAACUGAGGACCAGCAACCGCCAGAAGUGAAGAGAGGCCUGGAACAGGUUCUUCCUCAUGGCCUCAGGAGGAAACAACCCGACGACAACUUUGUCUGGGACUUCCAGCCUCCAGAACUUGAGACAGUCCAUUUCUGUUAUUGUGACACCCUGUCUGUGGCACUUUGUUAUGGCAGCGUAGGAAAUGAAUCCACUAGCCAUACAGUGACUCCAAACCACUAAGAAACAACCCAGUCCCCGCAAGAACUUCCAGGGACAUGUAUAGUGUGUGAUGCCCAUGAUGUCUGCAGUGAUAACAGAAGGCAAAUCGUCAGCGGAAGGCCACAGGAAUAACUCAAACAGUAAGUCAUCUCAGGAUGCAGAUCACAGGGGACAAAUAGAGAAUAAGCCCUCCCAGAAGAGUCCCACAGGCUGAAUGGGUGUGUGGGGGGCAGGGAAGGACAGCCCCAUAAAAUGGUAUUGGAGAUGGAAGUGGAGCAAGACCACACCUCUGAGUUGGCAAAGCCCAUGGUUCUCACAGGCAAGAGAAAGAGACUUGGGCUUCAGGGAAACAUAAGCCCAGGGAUAGCAGCA
rnacentral:lncRNA from 1 species